UACGGGGGGAGCAAGCGUUGUUCGGAAUUACUGGGCGUAAAGCGCGUGUAGGCGGUUUAGUAAGUCAGAUGUGAAAGCCCUUGGCUUAACCAAGGAACUGCAUUUGAAACUACUAGACUAGAGUAUCGGAGGGGAUGGCGGAAUUCCCGGUGUAGAGGUGGAAUUCGUAGAUAUCGGGAGGAACACCUGUGGCGAAGGCGGCUCGCUGGGCCGGUCCUGACGCUGAGGCGCGAAAGCGUGGGGAGCAAACAGG
rnacentral:rRNA from 1 species